rnacentral:rRNA from 1 species
UACGGAGGGUGCGAACGUUGCUCGGAAUCAUUGGGCGUAAAGCGCACGUAGGCGGCGGCAUAAGCGGAAUGUGAAAACCUGGGGCUCAACCCCAGAAGAGCAUCUCGAACUGUGUCGCUUGAAUCUCGGAGGGGGACAGAGAAUUCCCGGUGUAGAGGUGAAAUUCGUAGAUAUCGGGAGGAAUACCAGUGGCGAAGGCGCUGUCCUGGACGAAGAUUGACGCUGAGGUGCGAAAGCGUGGGGAGCAAACAGG